rnacentral:rRNA from 1 species
UAGGGAAUCUUCGGCAAUGGGGGCAACCCUGACCGAGCAACGCCGCGUGAGUGAAGAAGGUUUUCGGAUCGUAAAGCUCUGUUGUAAGAGAAGAACGUGUGUGAGAGUGGAAAGUUCACACAUUGACGGUAACUUACCAGAAAGGGACGGCUAACUACGUGCCAGCAGCCGCGGUAAUACGUAGGUCCCGAGCGUUGUCCGGAUUUAUUGGGCGUAAAGCGAGCGCAGGCGGUUUAAUAAGUCUGAAGUUAAAGGCAGUGGCUUAACCAUUGUUCGCUUUGGAAACUGUUAAACUUGAGUGCAGAAGGGGAGAGUGGAAUUCCAUGUGUAGCGGUGAAAUGCGUAGAUAUAUGGAGGAACACCGGUGGCGAAAGCGGCUCUCUGGUCUGUAACUGACGCUGAGGCUCGAAAGCGUGGGGAGCAAACAGG